rnacentral:snRNA from 1 species
GCGAAUAUUCGGCAGCACAUAUACUAAAACUGGAAUGAUACAGAGAAGAUUAGCAUGGCCCCUCUGCAAGGAUGACACGCAAAUUCGUGAAGCAUUCCAUAUUUUU